CGCUGGUCGAAGGCAGUGAGUUAUCUCAAUUGAUCGUUCACAGGCAGUUACUCCUUGUUCUACUCUUUCUCCUCUUCUCACUACUGUGCUUGACUAAUCUAAA
ensembl:misc_RNA Y_RNA Y RNA